CCACUUCAUCUAUCUAUGUGAAAAGCUGUUUUAGAUCAAAUCUGAAAUCUAAAAUCUGACUCCAGCUGAUUUCACUCUCCCGUACAUGACCGCGUUCACGGCGCUGGAGUGAGACGGUUACGCGCGUACAGGAAUGCGCUUGUGCCGGUUUUGACGCUUCAAAGAAAGAAAGAACAAGAGUUUUGUUUGAGAAGGAAAUCUUUCCCUCUGGGCUGUUUUUCUUUCCACCUCUAUUAUUUCAUUACUUCGUCCCACAGGAUUCUUUACCCUCCGUCAGUCUGACGCGAUCCUGACGGUGGCCUCUCACCGGGAGGUCAGCCGGUACAAUAAAAAUAGAAAGGCCCUCAGACAGACAGACUGAAUAGAUUCAGAUCACUGUGAUGUUGGGAAACACGCUGUAGAUCAAAAACUUCUAAGCUUCACCAUUUAGUUUGCUCAGGUUUUUUUUUUUAUUCAACAGCUGUUUCCCUGAAACUUCCGCUUAGCAACCAAUCAUCUAUCAGCAGUGCAGCUACGACACCUGCUGGUUAAACUGAAGUAAACCUUCAGGCAGCAUGUUCGUGGUUUCACAGCGCAGAGAGCUGAAGUUACACAAACACACACAUUGUUGAUCUGAGCUGGUUUAGUGGAUCAUCAAACAGAAAGAGGUGUGAAGGUGAAGAGACGAGAAGCUACUCUCUGCUUUCUGAUUACAAUGUGAGAUUGGUUAAUUAAUAAAUGUUUUGACCCAGUUUUGUUCUACUUGGAGAAAAAUCUGCUUUAUUCUCUUACAUAAUGCUUCCUCUCAACUUUCCUUCCUGUGUUGCUCUUUUCAUCUUUCAUCAUUGAUUCCUUCCUCUUUACUUGCGGGAAUCCUCGCUUAAUAUGUCAGUCCUGUGUUUUGUGUGUGUGCCAUUUGUAUAACAGACUCAAUAUUUGUCAUGUAUUGUGCAGCUGUCUAUGCUCUUGCUUUUUAUUUUCCACCAGUUCUGUGACGUUUGGGAUUUUUACCUCAAAAAUUAUUCCUGUUUCAUGGUAUCAUAUUUGUAGAGUCGUCUGGCCGAAAGGAGGAAGCAGGUCAGCAGGGAAACUCAGCAGAUUCAGGUGAAGAUUUUAUCUACAGUCCUUCUCAAGUCAGUCCAAGAAAAUUAUUACAAUCAAUAAAUCGUUUCAAAAUGAGCCUACAGCUCCUCAAACAACGGCACAGUUCUGCCAGCACAGCCUCUCCUUUGUUUCUAAGAAAUAAAACCUGAUCUCCUUUUACAUGGGAUCAGUUGACACAUUCAUCUCUUCGGCUCUACUAUCAGACAGCAUGGCGACACUGCUAAACAAAUAAAAAUACUACACAGCCUAGAUGUAAACAAAACUGCAAACAACAUCUUCAUACAGAUUUUCAACUUAUGGACAUUUCAAAACAUCUCUGUAUGAGCUAAACAUUCAAAGUCUCCACUGAAUGAUGCAUUUCUACAUAAAACAAACAUUCAGAAACAAGUAUGGAUUGAUGAUGUCACUUUGACAUCUUAAAAGGAAAUGCGGGGCGACCUGCUCCAAAACAGGAAGGUCCUGCAGGAUGAGUCAGAACAAAGGAACAAACAAUGAAACCACAAUUGAUCUAUAAAUAAGUGAAACUAAAUAACAUCUCUUUGUAGCUUGAAUCCCCCAUAUGAUGAUAAUUUUAACUCUAAAUGUUGCACCAACAUGGUUAAAUUAAAGCAAAACACACAGAGAAAGCUGAGAAUAAAAGAGUUUUCACCA